rnacentral:rRNA from 1 species
AAGGUAGCGUAAUCACUUGUUCUCCAAAUAAGGACCAGUAUGAACGGCUAAACGAGAAUCUAACUGUCUCCUGCAAGCAACCAAUGAAAUUGAUCUCCCUGUGCAAAAGCAGGAAUGACCCCACCAGACGAGAAGACCCUGUGAAACUUUAACCGACUAAGUCACACACUAGGAACAACACAACCCACAACCACCUUAAACCCAUGACUUAGCGCUUUUGGUUGGGGUGACCCUAAAACAAAAAAAAACUUUUAAGACAAUCAUAACAAAAUUAGACUAUUAACUAAGACCCACACCUCAAAGUACUUAACUGUAAUUAGAUCCGACAAUGUCGAUCCACGAACUAAGCUACUCCAGGGAUAACAGCGCAAUCCCCUUCAAGAGCCCCUAUCGACAAGGGGGUUU